AACAACUGUCGACCCCUCAUCCGUUUCAUUUUUUCCCCAGGAUCGAGCUUGCUCUUCUUGGGCACGACCCUAGGUUCCUUUGUUGCCUUCCCAUCGUAUGGAAAAAUUCGUCAGAUAGCCACGACCCUUUCCUCUUUGUGGCUUUGCGGCUGUAAUGCGGACCUCGAAAGCAGUCCCCGUGUCCCCGACAUAUCCUCUGACUUCGGUCGUGGCUGUCUUGGAUGUGGAAAAUUAAGCGGACAUGGGGGGGCUUGGCCUCCAGUUGCUCCACAAUCAAGUCCCGCAAUAAGAAUGACUUUCGUUACCUCAUUGACCGCAGGUUGUCCAGGCCCGUGGCAUCAAUGCGGGUCCGUAGUCGAGAAAGAAUGCUACCUGGUUGAUCCUGCCAGUAGUCAUAUGCUUGUCUCAAAGAUUAA
rnacentral:misc_RNA from 1 species